AAAAUGGUGACGAUAGGAAGAGUAUAUAUAAUUGGAUUUGUAGAGAGUCAGAGGUGCUGGAAAUCUGAUAUGAAAAUUAUAUGGAAGAACAUCCUUGAACAGUUAACUGAAAGCUAUGUGAGCUAGUAGGCUUAAACGGUUGUCUACCGUUAAAAAGACAGGGUAUUGAUAUUUUGAAUUCAUCUGUACCUGUAAAAGUGAACAUUUUAUAUGUUAAGUAGGAUGGUACCGCGAAGUUUUAACCCGUUCCUAUA
rnacentral:ncRNA from 1 species